rnacentral:sRNA from 1 species
ACAUAUAUGAUGUGUCUAUUGUCAUAAUCGAUUUUUUUAAAAUAAGUUAAGUUUUCACACGUUUGUUAGGGCCAAUUUCUUUCGUUGUAUUAUUAUUUAAAUGAAUCACUUAAUUUUCAUUUAAUCAACUCUACUCAAGUGAAGAAAAUUCAUAAGCGUCUGCAAGUAUUGUCACGCCGAAAUGGAAAACGUCACACACAGCUCCUCAAACUGCAUUUCCCCCUAAUUGCAUCACCCACACAUCGCGCUUGUUGUUGCUGUGAGUCAUGCAAACAACAACGGACUCCAUUGAGUGGCAGCUACCAGUCUUCAAUACCAAAUCAAGCAUUACUUGCAUAACCCAUUGGAGUCAUCGACCACAUUGUCCCAUACCCAUCAUGAUGAACAUCAUCAUUGCGAUCGGCGGGCAGACCAGACCAGACCGGGGCCUGGAUAAAUAUUUUUCCAAAACACAACUCGAACAUGGAUCCGAGAACUCGGACUGGAUGCGCCUCUUGAAGACGUCAGGAAAAGCCAGUAGCCGGUAGAGAAAGAGCUGGUUGGUUGGACAGACAGACAGACAGACAGAGCAUGUGUUCUUCUCACCACCAUCGGUCAGCAGCUUUUGAAGCACCCACUGACGGGACCCAACAAGAACUCAGCUCCCCGGCAUGCGUCUGGCACCCAAGUAAUCCAACCAUCUAACCAUCCAACCAUCCAUCCAUCCGCUAAUCAUCAGCAGUUUUUAUUAACCACACUAUGGCAUUAAGAAGUGAUUAUCAUAAAACAGCUUUGGAAUGAAAUGUAUCCAAAUAUUUCCUCACGCAACUUGGAAGCAUAGCCAAUUUGCGUUGGCUUUGUUGUAUUCCGGAACAAAUUUUAACGACAAAAACUGUGAACGAAGUGGACACAGUAAGCCACUUAAGUUUUAUAACCAUGGCAGUCGUGUAGAUAUUUUAAUAAACCCUUUUCUAUGGCCAUGUGUGUGGGUUCUGGGUUCUUUUUGUGAAACAUAUGUUGCUAUUAGCGCGUGAGGCAUUCCAUAAGGCGAUACGCUACGCAUGCCUCCAUCAAUUAUCCUCUCCGGGAAAAAGACGACCUGCCUAACAAUCGACCAUUGUUGCUGCUGCCUGGUUACGGCAUCUUGUGCACUUCCACAUCCACCGCCUCUCCAGAAAUCGACCACAAUUACAGGGACCAGGACCAUCAGAGCCAGAGACCCUGGCGCUAUUGUUGUCCUCAAUCCUCAAUCUGUUCUCCCGCUUCGGUUCGGGGUCAUGUGUUCGGCAAACAAAUGCCCUGAAGUGCCCAGGGACCCACACACACGCUCGAGGACAAUCUCCAGGGGUUACAAAGAACAUAUAGAAUAUGUAGCCACACAUAAACAUGUCCAUAUUGUGUUUCUAUUCAUCUCCGCUGAUCGCCUUUGUUCGCAGUGUUUAUCGGUUCAAUUGCCCUACCAAUUGUUGUGCAAAGAAUUGAAAUUGAAUUGAAUAUAUCCAAGUACACAUCCCUCGUAAACUUUGUUUUCGCCAACUAACCAGAGUUCACACUGCCAUAACCAGAGAUCUAUCAUCUCACAGUUGGUCGAAGCGGACGAGGCGAUUCAUAUGCCUAAUAGGCAAAGUUCACAUAACAAAAAGCCAAGUUUUUUUUUUCCAACUAACGACAACAAAGGCAACACAAGGCCAGGGCAACUAUGUGCCAACGACCAAAGACCUGGCGACAACCACUGCAGCAUAGCCGGACCAUAACUGGACCUCUCACGUAAUAACGUAUAGAAUUUCAAAAAAUAAAAAAAAAAAAUAGAAGAAAAAAUAAAGAGCAGCUCAGGAAAAUUAAAGAAUCUCUUCCUCCUGUCACAACUUUCACAUGAAAGUUCUUUCAACUUGAGCGGCCAAAUAUGGCAGAAACACGACCAGCGACCAGGAAACUGAUGGCGAGCAAUGCGAGCAACUUCUGGUGCUGCACAAUCGAUCAGGGAACCAUAUUUAGAAGAGCCCAUCCAUAGUU